CAGUCGCCGCGGGAAUACGUAGGGUGCGAGCGUUAAUCGGAAUUACUGGGCGUAAAGCGUGCGCAGGCGGUUGUGUAAGACAGGUGUGAAAUCCCCGGGCUUAACCUGGGAACUGCGCUUGUGACUGCACAGCUAGAGUAUGGCAGAGGGGGGUGGAAUUCCACGUGUAGCAGUGAAAUGCGUAGAGAUGUGGAGGAACACCGAUGGCGAAGGCAGCCCCCUGGGCCAAUACUGACGCUCAUGCACGAAAGCGUGGGGAACAAACAGGAUUAGAUACCCCGGUAGUCCCUGUCUCUUAUAC
rnacentral:rRNA from 1 species